rnacentral:rRNA from 1 species
GGGUUGUGAGGUUAAGCGACUAAGCGUACACGGUGGAUGCCCUGGCAGUCAGAGGCGAUGAAGGACGUGCUAAUCUGCGAUAAGCGUCGGUAAGGUGAUAUGAACCGUUAUAACCGGCGAUUUCCGAAUGGGGAAACCCAGUGUGUUUCGACACACUAUCAUUAACUGAAUCCAUAGGUUAAUGAGGCGAACCGGGGGAACUGAAACAUCUAAGUACCCCGAGGAAAAGAAAUCAACCGAGAUUCCCCCAGUAGCGGCGAGCGAACGGGGAGCAGCCCAGAGCCUGAAUCAGUGUGUGUGUUAGUGGAAGCGUCUGGAAAGGCGCGCGAUACAGGGUGACAGCCCCGUACACAAAAAUGCACAUGCUGUGAGCUCGAUGAGUAGGGCGGGACACGUGGUAUCCUGUCUGAAUAUGGGGGGACCAUCCUCCAAGGCUAAAUACUCCUGACUGACCGAUAGUGAACCAGUACCGUGAGGGAAAGGCGAAAAGAACCCCGGCGAGGGGAGUGAAAAAGAACCUGAAACCGUGUACGUACAAGCAGUGGGAGCCUCUUUUAUGGGGUGACUGCGUACCUUUUGUAUAAUGGGUCAGCGACUUAUAUUCUGUAGCAAGGUUAACCGAAUAGGGGAGCCGAAGGGAAACCGAGUCUUAACUGGGCGUUAAGUUGCAGGGUAUAGACCCGAAACCCGGUGAUCUAGCCAUGGGCAGGUUGAAGGUUGGGUAACACUAACUGGAGGACCGAACCGACUAAUGUUGAAAAAUUAGCGGAUGACUUGUGGCUGGGGGUGAAAGGCCAAUCAAACCGGGAGAUAGCUGGUUCUCCCCGAAAGCUAUUUAGGUAGCGCCUCGUGAAUUCAUCUCCGGGGGUAGAGCACUGUUUCGGCAAGGGGGUCAUCCCGACUUACCAACCCGAUGCAAACUGCGAAUACCGGAGAAUGUUAUCACGGGAGACACACGGCGGGUGCUAACGUCCGUCGUGAAGAGGGAAACAACCCAGACCGCCAGCUAAGGUCCCAAAGUCAUGGUUAAGUGGGAAACGAUGUGGGAAGGCCCAGACAGCCAGGAUGUUGGCUUAGAAGCAGCCAUCAUUUAAAGAAAGCGUAAUAGCUCACUGGUCGAGUCGGCCUGCGCGGAAGAUGUAACGGGGCUAAACCAUGCACCGAAGCUGCGGCAGCGACACUGUGUGUUGUUGGGUAGGGGAGCGUUCUGUAAGCCUGUGAAGGUGUACUGUGAGGUAUGCUGGAGGUAUCAGAAGUGCGAAUGCUGACAUAAGUAACGAUAAAGCGGGUGAAAAGCCCGCUCGCCGGAAGACCAAGGGUUCCUGUCCAACGUUAAUCGGGGCAGGGUGAGUCGACCCCUAAGGCGAGGCCGAAAGGCGUAGUCGAUGGGAAACAGGUUAAUAUUCCUGUACUUGGUGUUACUGCGAAGGGGGGACGGAGAAGGCUAUGUUGGCCGGGCGACGGUUGUCCCGGUUUAAGCGUGUAGGCUGGUUUUCCAGGCAAAUCCGGAAAAUCAAGGCUGAGGCGUGAUGACGAGGCACUACGGUGCUGAAGCAACAAAUGCCCUGCUUCCAGGAAAAGCCUCUAAGCAUCAGGUAACAUCAAAUCGUACCCCAAACCGACACAGGUGGUCAGGUAGAGAAUACCAAGGCGCUUGAGAGAACUCGGGUGAAGGAACUAGGCAAAAUGGUGCCGUAACUUCGGGAGAAGGCACGCUGAUACGUAGGUGAAGUCCCUCGCGGAUGGAGCUGAAAUCAGUCGAAGAUACCAGCUGGCUGCAACUGUUUAUUAAAAACACAGCACUGUGCAAACACGAAAGUGGACGUAUACGGUGUGACGCCUGCCCGGUGCCGGAAGGUUAAUUGAUGGGGUCAGCGCAAGCGAAGCUCUUGAUCGAAGCCCCGGUAAACGGCGGCCGUAACUAUAACGGUCCUAAGGUAGCGAAAUUCCUUGUCGGGUAAGUUCCGACCUGCACGAAUGGCGUAAUGAUGGCCAGGCUGUCUCCACCCGAGACUCAGUGAAAUUGAACUCGCUGUGAAGAUGCAGUGUACCCGCGGCAAGACGGAAAGACCCCGUGAACCUUUACUAUAGCUUGACACUGAACAUUGAGCCUUGAUGUGUAGGAUAGGUGGGAGGCUUUGAAGUGUGGACGCCAGUCUGCAUGGAGCCGACCUUGAAAUACCACCCUUUAAUGUUUGAUGUUCUAACGUGGACCCGUGAUCCGGGUUGCGGACAGUGUCUGGUGGGUAGUUUGACUGGGGCGGUCUCCUCCUAAAGAGUAACGGAGGAGCACGAAGGUUGGCUAAUCCUGGUCGGACAUCAGGAGGUUAGUGCAAUGGCAUAAGCCAGCUUGACUGCGAGCGUGACGGCGCGAGCAGGUGCGAAAGCAGGUCAUAGUGAUCCGGUGGUUCUGAAUGGAAGGGCCAUCGCUCAACGGAUAAAAGGUACUCCGGGGAUAACAGGCUGAUACCGCCCAAGAGUUCAUAUCGACGGCGGUGUUUGGCACCUCGAUGUCGGCUCAUCACAUCCUGGGGCUGAAGUAGGUCCCAAGGGUAUGGCUGUUCGCCAUUUAAAGUGGUACGCGAGCUGGGUUUAGAACGUCGUGAGACAGUUCGGUCCCUAUCUGCCGUGGGCGCUGGAGAACUGAGGGGGGCUGCUCCUAGUACGAGAGGACCGGAGUGGACGCAUCACUGGUGUUCGGGUUGUCAUGCCAAUGGCACUGCCCGGUAGCUAAAUGCGGAAGAGAUAAGUGCUGAAAGCAUCUAAGCACGAAACUUGCCCCGAGAUGAGUUCUCCCUGACCCUUUAAGGGUCCUGAAGGAACGUUGAAGACGACGACGUUGAUAGGCCGGGUGUGUAAGCGCAGCGAUGCGUUGAGCUAACCGGUACUAAUGAACCGUGAGGCUUAACCUUACAACGCCGAAG